UACGAAGGGGGGCUAGCGUUGCUCGGAAUGACUGGGCGUAAAGGGCGCGUAGGCGGUUUGUACAGUCAGGUGUGAAAUUCCCGGGCUCAACCUGGGGGGCUGCACUUGAUACGUAUGAACUGGAGUGGGGGAAGAGGGUCGUGGAAUUCCCAGUGUAGAGGUGAAAUUCGUAGAUAUUGGGAAGAACACCGGUGGCGAAGGCGGCCAACUGGUCCGGUACUGACGCUGAGGUGCGAAAGCGUGGGGGAGCGAACAGG
rnacentral:rRNA from 1 species